GGAUAUGAGGGCAAUCUGACUACAACAUCUGUGACCCCAUUGAUCACCAGGGUUGAUUCAGCUGAUCUGACUGGCUAGACGGGUGCCUCCUUCCUCCUACACCGCACCAUGUUUAUGUGCGUCCCUCCCAAAGCUGCAUGAUCAGUCGAAGAGGACAGCUUUCCCUGAAGAGAGAUGGACCAGUCUUAGGUCUUCAGUAGAGGGUAUACGAGUGGCUACGCCCCUGCUAGAACCUCCAAACAAGCUCUCAAAUCCACAGAGCUAAUAAAAUUGCAAAAUCUUCUGUUUAAAACCAUACAAGACAAACCAGUUCAUAGAACUAUCCUCAUUG
rnacentral:snRNA from 1 species